rfam:TPA: Bos taurus chromosome 13, whole genome shotgun sequence.
UCCCUGGUGGCUCAGAUGGUAAAGCAUCUGUCUACAAUGCAGGAGACCCAGGUUCAAUCCCUGGGUUGGGAA